UCAUUACGUCGUAAUAAAUAAUCAGAAA
rnacentral:sRNA from 1 species